UAGGGAAUCUUCGGCAAUGGACGAAAGUCUGACCGAGCAACGCCGCGUGAGUGAAGAAGGUUUUCGGAUCGUAAAACUCUGUUGUUAGAGAAGAACAAGGACGUUAGUAACUGAACGUCCCCUGACGGUAUCUAACCAGAAAGCCACGGCUAACUACGUGCCAGCAGCCGCGGUAAUACGUAGGUGGCAAGCGUUGUCCGGAUUUAUUGGGCGUAAAGCGAGCGCAGGCGGUUUCUUAAGUCUGAUGUGAAAGCCCCCGGCUCAACCGGGGAGGGUCAUUGGAAACUGGGGGACUUGAGGGCAGAAGAGGAGAGUGGAAUUCCAUGUGUAGAGGUAAAAUGCGUAGAUAUAUGGAGGAACACCAGUGGCGAAGGCGGCUCUCUGGUCUGUAACUGACGCUGAGGCUCGAAAGCGUGGGGAGCAAACAGG
rnacentral:rRNA from 1 species